UCGAGCGGUUGACGGGAGCUUGCUCCCUGAUUCAGCGGCGGACGGGUGAGUAAUGCCUAGGAAUCUGCCUAUUAGUGGGGGACAACGUUUCGAAAGGAACGCUAAUACCGCAUACGUCCUACGGGAGAAAGCAGGGGACCUUCGGGCCUUGCGCUAAUAGAUGAGCCUAGGUCGGAUUAGCUAGUUGGUGGGGUAACGGCUCACCAAGGCGACGAUCCGUAACUGGUCUGAGAGGAUGAUCAGUCACACUGGAACUGAGACACGGUCCAGACUCCUACGGGAGGCAGCAGUGGGGAAUAUUGGACAAUGGGCGAAAGCCUGAUCCAGCCAUGCCGCGUGUGUGAAGAAGGUCUUCGGAUUGUAAAGCACUUUAAGUUGGGAGGAAGGGCAGUAAGCGAAUACCUUGCUGUUUUGACGUUACCGACAGAAUAAGCACCGGCUAACUCUGUGCCAGCCGCCG
rnacentral:rRNA from 1 species